ACUUAAGGAGUGUGUUUGCUGUAAAUAUGGACGUAAAUCUAUAUGUAGGCUUUAUGUGGAAGACUGGCUGUGCAAGAAGAACUGCUUGUCCAUAAAGAAACCUAUGGAUAUGA